GAGGCAUUAUAAGAUAUAAGUAGGAAUGCUCCAGUUACACAUCGACAAGCCUCACACAGAACUCAGCUGGUCUGCACACCUUUACCAGACUCCGCCCCUCCCUGAUUAUUAAGUUGACACACCUGGGAGGUCCCAGAGGCCAGUAAGAGGGCCUGGCAGGUCAGGAGAAAAAAGCAGCAGAGAUGGCGAAAUAGCUGGUGGCUAUCUCCUACGGCGAGACCGCAGUGCUGGCGUGGCACAGAAAGGCUGCGGGCGGGGUUGAGAGCUCUGCCCAUCCGGGGUAAGUCCCGAGACAUAUCGCGCUGCAAUAAACCGGUCCACUGGAAGGAACAGUGACUAUCGCUGCCCCCUCUCUUUUCCAGCACUCCGGAGCGGACAGAUAGACGGGACGGCUGGGGACGCCGCCGGGUUUUCCUUGCCCCGCUCCGAUUUUUACUGGAUUUUAAUGCUGUGGCUGACGCCACCUGACUUUUCAUGUUUAUGUUUUACUGGUUUUUAUUGUGUUCUUUUAUUGUGUUUAAAGCCCCACUCAUCUGGUUUGUUGGCAAUAUACUGGUGGAGAGUGCCAGCCCUUGUAGCUUCAUAUGAAACCAUGACCUCAAACACACUGUGGUUGUAGGUGGAUGGUAUCAUGAGACACCGCUCACGAAUCCUCCACAGGACCAUGUGAUUUUUUUUUAAAGCCAUAUAAUUGUUUAUUGUCCAUAUAGUACUUGUUAAAUAUGACAUUAUAAUUUUGACAACUUAGUAUCAUUAAUUUACCAGCUACCGUAAUUUGGUUAAAAUGUAAUUAGUUGUGAUAUUUGUGAUUUCCACAUGUCACUCUUUAUUUUUGACAUAUUUACUAAUAUUAACUCAGAAAGUUACAAAAAUUACUUGCUGAGAAAAUUAUUUCAACAUAUUCUUGCUGUGCUAACCCUUAAUGUGAUUUAUCAACAGCAAUGGAUAAACAAAAUGGGUCUAGUGGUCUGAUUGUCUGGCAAAUAAUCAAUUUUAAUAACAUUUAGGUUAUGUUAGCAUUAGCAACAUAAAGUGAAAAAUCAACCAUUUGGUUUAGCACUUUUAGGAAAAAAAUAAACAUUUAAUUUAAGUGCAUCACUGCUCCCCUCGACCUAGUCUAACAGACCACAGUCUCUCUGGACCCGUGCAGGAUAGUGCAUUACUCUAACCUUUGUCACAAUAAUACAAACUGACCAGCUGAGCUCACACUGGUUAACUGUCUUUUACAUAACUUGUGAGUUCAACAACAAAAUUAUAAUUCAGUACGUUUCUAAAGAUGCUUUACAAAAUGAAUGAACCUUAUACCUUCAGCAACUCGCCAUGUACAGAUCAUUUAAAAAAAAAGCUGAUAUAUAUAAAAUCACAUAUAAAAGCAAGUGGAAACCUACAACAGUGCAAGUUAUUAGUAAGUUAGUACACCUUUCUUCAAAAAUAGAUAAACAGGCCAAAUUUAUCCUCCACAUGAGAUGGUAUUGUAGUCCGUGUGCAGAUGGGUGGCUGCACUCCAGAGGAGAUCCUACCUUUUAUACAAACUGCUGUAUACAUUCUUUAUUGUGCUGGUCUGUAAAAUCUAUGUAAAACACAAACUUGCCUUUAGUCUUUCUUUCCCUGCUUUGUCUCAGUCUGGCGUGAACAAGCAGAUGCAAUCGAGUUUUAAUUCACUGCACAGUCUCAGUGUUGCUGGCCACCAUCCAUUAAGCUGUGCUUGCAUGAAGCUCACCAUGUUUAUUAACAGACGCGAUUGAUUGAAAGAUUGAUUGUUUAUUUCAAGCAUAUGCGUACAUACAUACAAAACAGAGCAUAUAUACGAAAAGGAAAAUACUGUCUUCUUGUACAACAGGUGUUCAAAAAGCAGUGGGAAGAAGUAACACACGUUACCACCCCCUUCACAUAUUUAUAGCUCAGUCAUGUAAUUGUGAAGCUGCUUCCAAAUGUUGUAUAACCAUGAGAAUUUAUCACAUUGGACUGCAUGAAAAUCAUAUCUUUAUACAUUGAUUGAAAUUUCUGAAUAUAUUUGUCUUGUCAAUUAAUUUUAAAUUUAAAUGUAAAAUUAUUUUCACUAAAGACACUGUGUUUGUCUUAUACAGGUUUAAGUUGCGGAGAAAUGCCGUUACUGUUUGUUCAACUAUUGCAGGACAACCACUGUUUAAGUGAAACAAUAAAUGUUAUGACAUUAAAUUUGAAUGCACAUGUGGUAAAACAUAUUUUUGUUGUAAAUCUACACCAACUACCGAGUGAAAGGGUUUUCAGUACUCAUUCAUGUGCUUUCUAUUAUUUUAUGCACCCCCUUUUAUGGCCACAUAAGCCUCUAAUUUUGGAGAUUUUUAAUCCAAGUUUUUACUCAUUAUAAUUAUUUAAUUUCCUUUUUCAGUAAAUGAGUCAUUUAAAGUCCAGUUUGUUUCUCAGUAUCGUGUAUCUGGCUUAGUCACACAUGUGGAAAUGUUCUUGCGUCUCUCAUUAUUUUUGUAAUAAUCAGGAAAUGCAGA